UAAAAGUUAGUUAAUCUAUAUAACGUAAAAUUGUCAAUUUUAAAUAACUAGUUAGUUAUAGUACUUUUAA
rnacentral:tRNA from 1 species